CUAGAGAAAUGAACAGCGGAUUUCUGAUUUUUUGCGGGAUGUGGAUUUCGGCGAUAUCACCAAGGAGACAGAGUUUUGGAGAUGAUGGGAUUCUGUAGCUCAGGGUGGUGGACAGCGCCUCGGUGACCGUGAUCCAGAAUGAGCGAACUGGUCGACAGACCCACAUGGUGUGUAGAUAAUCGUCUGUGCUACCUAAGGUGCAUUGUGAACAGAUACCUGUGUUUGCUAGGCCCAUUUUGAACAUUUUGAAACAUGAUUGAAAAUGCAUCGAUAUAUAGUUGACCGGGAAAUAUGAUUGAAAAAGCCUUGAUAUAUAGUUGACCGGGAAAUAUGAUUGAAAAAGCCUUGAUAUAUAGUUGACCGGGAAAUAUGAUUGAAAAGCCAUUGAUUUUUGGUUGACCGGGAGAUCAUCGGGUGGUAGACCAACGUACUGCACCGGACACAUCUCAUUUCUGGACUCUUGGGGCGAAUACGAUCAGAGAGGAAAAUGCCAGGCGGAGAGGGAAGAAAAGGGAGAUCACCUGCCGGAGGGACUGAAGCAAGUAAAAAGAUGCUCUUACACAGCAGAUGGGGACAGCCGCCGUCAACCAAUUUACUUUUGCCCAGCCUGUGCAAAAGUUGCUGCGCUAUGCGUCAGACCGGGCAGGAUGGACUGGACGACAAACCAGUCAGACGUCAGAGGACCAUGAACUGUAACUAUGCUAAAGAGGACAAAUGAUGAAAUAAGAGGCUAAUAAAAUGAAUUUGUUUUUACCUUAAA